rnacentral:rRNA from 1 species
GCCUACGGGGCGCAGCAGUGGGGAAUAUUGCACAAUGGGGGAAACCCUGAUGCAGCGACGCCGCGUGAGUGAAGAAGUAUUUCGGUAUGUAAAGCUCUAUCAGCAGGGAAGAUAAUGACGGUACCUGAGUAAGAAGCCCCGGCUAACUACGUGCCAGCAGCCGCGGUAAUACGUAGGGGGCAAGCGUUAUCCGGAAUUACUGGGUGUAAAGGGAGCGUAGACGGUGAUGUAAGUCUGGAGUGAAAGGCGGGGGCCCAACCCCCGGACUGCUCUGGAAACUAUGUGACUGGAAUGCAGGAGAGGUG